UGUAAAUCCGGAAUGAACACGCAAAGGCAUAAUUCACCAUAUCCCUUCCAAAUCAAGUAGAGUCCAUGUGUGUUUCAAUACAUUUAGCAAACGCAUGCUCCUGUGGUUUGGAGCCACUUGAUUCGGAUGAAUGAAGUCCGUUUAAGAUCUUCAUGUAUAUCUCUGAUCCCAUAGAGAUGUUAUUAUGACCACAUUCAUAGGCUGCAUGUUCAGUUAUUCGGAACUACCAAACUGACAAAGUAGUGGAAUGCAAUGACAUCCAUUACGAGAGCAUAUCUCAUCGUAGUCGAUCAUAGUGCGUGUUAGUGAGAGACCUUGCGCCAUAAGGUGAGUCUAAGCUCUUGUUCUCACUACGCUAUCUAACAAAGGUAUAGUUGAUAGGGUUUAGCUUGUGGUGUCGGCAUCACUUGCCCAAGGACCGAUCUCUUUGUUAAUGCUGGAUCGCAUCUUUCCAUUAGGCCAAUCAACUAAGUUGAUAUCCAUCAACGAAGGGUGGUUCGAUAGUAGACUCAUUAUCUCACGUCCUCAUGUACACUAGUGUAAUACCUGUAGAGAUCUCUAUAUGGAUUGGAUUUGACAUUGAGGCGUCCCCCAACGAUAAUCACAAUUCAGACUUCAUGAGACGGAUUUGAGUAUCACUGAUCAAUGGAUCAGGUUGUGCCAAUCUCGCUUUCUUCCUAGUGCGAGAAUAUAUCGAACCUAAGGGCCUCCCUCCUUUUAGGGAGCCACACGGCCUUGUGACACUAAUUUUGCCACUAUAUGGCGUCUCCAUAUCACCAUCCAUGGUGAUGGCGCCAAGACCAACUUCUUUUGGUCGCGCCAUGUCCUUUUGUAGGACAUCAAUCCUUGCAGACAUAUUUGCAGCAUGUGAUCUCGUCACUUUAACACUAUAAGCAUUUGGGAUCAAGAUGAGACUUAGUGGGGACAAACCACGACAAUUCACGUCGUUCCACUUGAAAACUUGUGUUCUUUUCUCCCCUUAACGGCGGGAAUAUUGUCUCAUCAAAGUGACAAUCCGUAAUUUAGCGGUGAAUGAGAUCGCCUGACAAGGUUUCUACAUAUGCGGAUUAUAGGUGGAGGUUCAUAUCCAACCUAAACUUAUUCAUCUCAAAUGACCAAUCAUUGUACGCAAUGGCAAUGCGAUUUGGCAUCUAGAAAUAACAUCUAGCCGAGCUCAAGGAUUGGAGAUCCGUUUCAAUCUUGCCGAGCUCAAGGAUUGCAAUUUCGUGUCAAUCUUGGUACACAGUCACGAGCUGUAGUACAACAAAAUUCAAUGAUGGUGG
rnacentral:lncRNA from 1 species